rnacentral:ncRNA from 2 species
CUUCGAUAGUCGGGGGGCCCAAAAGGCUGAGAUCGUAGAAACGAGACCCGUUGAACCUGAUCCAAUUAAUAUUGGCGGAGGGAACUAUGCAUCUUGUUAG